AACGCACCUUGCGCCCCUUGGUAUUCCGAGGGGCAUGCCUGUUUGAGUGUCAUUGUACUCUCUCAACUUUGACCUUUUGGUCUUAGCUUGGACGGUGGAGGUUGUGCUGGCUGCUUGUCGGUCAGCUCCUCUGAAAAGUAUUAGCAAACAAAAGUGCACCGAUCCUGUGUCUUAUGCAUUGAUAGUUGUCUAUGUAUGCCAAGAUGCUGUCUGGGAUUGUGUCAAUGUCUUUUCUUGCUUACAGCUGUCAUAAAUAUGAUGACCCUUUGACCAAUCACCUCAAAUCAGGUAGGACUACCCGCUGAACUUAA
rnacentral:misc_RNA from 1 species